rnacentral:rRNA from 1 species
AGGAUGAACGCUGGCGGCGUGCCUAAACAUGCAAGUCAUACGGUCUACCUUCGGGUAGACAGUGGCAAACGGGUGAGUAACACGUGGGAACACGCCUUCGAGUGGGGAAUAACGCUGAGAAAUCAGUGCUAAUACCGCAUAUGGUCUAACGACUAAAGCAGUAAUGCGCUCGGAGAGUGGCCCGCGUCCGAUUAGCUAGUUGGUGGGGUAAUGGCCUACCAAGGCGGUGAUCGGUAGCUGGUCUGAGAGGAUGGUCAGCCACACUGGGACUGCGAACGGCCCAGACUCCUACGGGAGGCAGCAGUUAGGAAUUUUCGGCAAUGGACGAAAGUCUGACCGAGCGACGCCGCGUGGAGGACGAAGCCUUUCGGGGUGUAAACUCCUUUUCUGCGGGAAGAUAAUGACGGUACCGCAGGAAUAAGCACCGGCUAACACGUGCCAGCAGCCGC